CCAGGGGAGGGACGCAGUGUUCACAGGAGACAGAACCUCUGACCUCGCUCUUUUAUUAACAGAAAAGUGUGUCCGCACUUGGUGUUCCGUGGCCCAUGCCGGGACGUAUUCAGUGCAGCCCGCCCCUGUUCGUGCCUGGAGUUUGGGGUUAUCAAGCCCCGGCUGGCGUCUUCUCCUGGGGCUCAGGAUGCCGGGGCAGCCCAAGCCGAGGGCCCGGCAGCGCUGGGGGGCCGGGCGGGGCCUACCUGGCCCAUGAGGAUCUGUACCAGCAGGUCGGUGGCCAGCACAUGCGAAGGCUCCUCGAAGCCGAUGCUGUGUCUCCCUGGGAAAGUGACUUAUCGACUCUGAAAACACGUUUUCUUCAUUGUAAAAUGGACUGGUCCACACCUUUACGAACUGCUGUGUCGUCUACAUAAAGCACUUUUCAGGGCACAGUAAAAUGAGGGGCAUCCAGCGGCCGAUGGACCAGAGUUUCUGGAUUUGGGGGCACGAAUUGGCUGGACCCUGGCCUGCAUCCUCCCAUGUAUCUCGAUAACAUAAGAAGUAGCUGAGAGAGAAAUCAGAAGGAAAAGCAGUGCCCUCAGUUUUUCUGCUGAAGGCUUUCUUUCUGGAGCCCUCGGCACACUAGUAGAGUACAGCUAGCCGUGAGUACUAUCUCUGGGCCCUGGUGUGAGCUGUACAGCCUGUCCUUCUGUCCUGGAACCUGGCCCCAGCACUUGGUCACCUGUAGAGCAAGUAGCUUUGAAAGUCAUCCGCCUUCCUGAGCAGGUAACGGAGCUGGUCAGUGAUGGGGCUGAACAUGGAGUCCAGUGGGAGGCGAGCAGGUCCGAGCUCCGCUGCCAGUGGCUCCCUGGAGGUCGCGGAGGCUGGGGUUUCCAUCAGCUGCUGUGCCUGCUGGGGCUCCUGCUCCGCUGAGGCCUCGGGUCUGCGGGCGGGCGACCACGAGGGGUCUCCAUAGGGUGGCGGCCCGGGUACCAAAUCGUCCGAAGGCGGUGCUUCUCCAGGGCUCAGGGCCAGCGACCCGGCGAACCAGGACUCCGCAGCCAUCGGGCAUCCAGCGCAGGCUCCUCUAGCCUCCGCGGCGUCCCAGGAGGGCAGCACACCUGGGGUGUACCGGUCGGGGCAGUGAGCGCCGUCACCCCCUCGAAUCAGCCUCGACGUCUCUGCCGCGAGGCUUUCGCCUCUUUUGAAUUGGAGCACGCGGAGAGCCGCGCAGCCUGGGCCUGCACUGCGCACAGAGCUCAGCCGGCACCUGGCGCGCGGGGCAGGGCGAUGCCAAGGGCGGAGCUCCAGACCGGCCUAGUAGAUAUUUGUAGGUUGGCGCCUUCUCUCUCCCAGGUCGUUGACCGGGCUAGAGGGGAUUCCUAACAUGUUAGGAAUUGGGGAAUGCGGGUUACCAAGAGGCCUAGGCUCCACCCCAGCUGCUGACCCCCAAGAUCAGAUUCUUCACUGAUGGAGCUGGGAUCUGCCGGUGAACCUACGAGACUAGUGACUAG